rnacentral:rRNA from 1 species
GUGGGGAAUAUUGCACAAUGGGGGAAACCCUGAUGCAGCGACGCCGCGUGAGUGAAGAAGUAUUUCGGUACGUAAAGCUCUAUCAGCAAGGAAGAAAAUGACGGUACUUGACUAAGAAGCCCCGGCUAACUACGUGCCAGCAGCCGCGGUAAUACGUAGGGGGCAAGCGUUAUCCGGAUUUACUGGGUGUAAAGGGAGCGUAGACGGUAUGGUAAGUCAGAUGUGAAAGCCCGGGGCUCAACCCCGGGACUGCAUUUGAAACUAUCAGACUAGAGUGCAGGAGAGGUAAGUGGAAUUCCUAGUGUAGCGGUGAAAUGCGUAGAUAUUAGGAGGAACACCAGUGGCGAAGGCGGCCUGCUGGACAUUAACUGACGCUGAGGCGCGAAAGCGUGGGGAGCAAACAGGAUUAGAAACCCGGGUAGUCC